rnacentral:rRNA from 1 species
GACGAACGCUGGCGGCGUGCUUAACACAUGCAAGUCGAACGGAAAGGCCCUGCUUUUGUGGGGUGCUCGAGUGGCGAACGGGUGAGUAACACGUGAGUAACCUGCCCUUGACUUUGGGAUAACUUCAGGAAACUGGGGCUAAUACCGGAUAGGAGCUCCUGCUGCAUGGUGGGGGUUGGAAAGUUUCGGCGGUUGGGGAUGGACUCGCGGCUUAUCAGCUUGUUGGUGGGGUAGUGGCUUACCAAGGCUUUGACGGGUAGCCGGCCUGAGAGGGUGACCGGCCACAUUGGGACUGAGAUACGGUCCAGACUCCUACGGGAGGCAGCAGUGGGGAAUAUUGCACAAUGGGCGGAAGCCUGAUGCAGCAACGCCGCGUGCGGGAUGACGGCCUUCGGGCUGUAAACCGCUUUCGCCUGUGACGAAGCGUGAGUGACGGUAAUGGGUAAAGAAGCACCAGCUAACUACGUG